rnacentral:rRNA from 1 species
GACGAACGCUGGCGGCGUGCCUAAUACAUGCAAGUCGAGCGGACUUUCAAGAAGCUUGCUUUUUGAAAGUUAGCGGCGGACGGGUGAGUAACACGUGGGCAACCUGCCUGCAAGACGGGGAUAACUCCGGGAAACCGGGGCUAAUACCGGAUAAUAUCUUCCUUCGCAUGAAGGAAGGUUGAAAGGCGGCGCAAGCUGCCGCUUGCAGAUGGGCCCGCGGCGCAUUAGCUAGUUGGUGAGGUAACGGCUCACCAAGGCGACGAUGCGUAGCCGACCUGAGAGGGUGAGCGGCCACACUGGGACUGAGACACGGCCCAGACUCCUACGGGAGGCAGCAGUAGGGAAUCUUCCGCAAUGGACGAAAGUCUGACGGAGCAACGCCGCGUGAGCGAAGAAGGGCUUCGGAUCGUAAAGCUCUGUUGUCAGGGAAGAACAAGUACCGUUCGAACAGGGCGGUACCUUGACGGUACCUGACCAGAAAGCCACGGCUAACUACGUG